rnacentral:lncRNA from 1 species
CGAUACAUAUCCGAUUUUAUACAAAAUCUUAUCUUACCGAGUAGACUGGAUUUGAGAGGCUACAGGAUGAUAGCUGGUGGAGGAAUCCUAAAGGUGUUGCAUCAUGAUAGGAUUAUUUUGGAAGAAAAAAAGAGGACGAGAAGAUAUUAUAACCUGAUGGGGAGCCCAGUGCGAUGUGCAGUUUCAGGAGCCAGGAAGAGCCCAG